rnacentral:lncRNA from 1 species
AGGUCAUGUGAUCAGUGGCACCAGAGUCUAUAAUUGAAAUGCAGUCACUUAUUUUAGUUAGCAUGCAAGCCCCAUAGGAUACAUUCUUUAAAUGAUUGGUUGGAGAAAAAUUACCGGCAAAGUUGGCUGAUGCCAUAAGACAGGACUGCUGCUGAGAUUCUGAAAUUUGUGUCUGUUGGAGCAGUAACAUAUGUAAUUAGUAUUGAUCUUUGGUUAAACCAGGUAUUAGAGACUCUGAUUCAGAGACCCCCUGAACAUUGUCAGCACUGUUCUGAGUUCCAGCAGGGUUUGGACACCCCUGCACUUCAACAUGUGCUACACUCCUCCUUCCUUUUGUGAAUUUGAAGUCUGAUGGAAAUCCUUUUGUGAAUUUGAAGUCUGAUGGAAAUCCAUGAAGUUUGUAACACUUGUCAAUCAGGUGUCCAGGUUUCUUACAAUACCUACACACUAAGUUUGUCUUGUUGAGAUCAAAGUUGAGUCUUUGACUGAAUUACUUAGGAUAUCCAGCUGUGGGAGGAAAUUUUGUGAUAGGGGAUUUCCUGCUGAAGUGAAUAUUGAAAGCACUCGAAUCAUGACAAAAUUGGGAUGGUGAGGAAACUUGUCUUUG